rnacentral:rRNA from 1 species
UACGGAGGGGGCUAGCGUUGUUCGGAAUUACUGGGCGUAAAGCGCACGUAGGCGGCUUUGCAAGUCAGAGGUGAAAGCCCGGGGCUCAACCCCGGAAUUGCCUUUGAGACUGCAUCGCUAGAAUUGUGGAGAGGUAAGUGGAAUUCCGAGUGUAGAGGUGGAAUGCGUAGAUAUCGGGAGGAACACCAGUGGCGAAGGCGGUUGCCUGGAGCUUUGCUGACGCUGAUGCGCGAAAGCGUGGGGAGCGAUCCGG